rnacentral:rRNA from 1 species
UGAGGAAUAUUGGUCAAUGGGCGAGAGCCUGAACCAGCCAAGUAGCGUGCAGGAUGACGGCCCUAUGGGUUGUAAACUGCUUUUAUAUGGGAAUAAAGUGAGGGACGUGUCCCUUAUUGCAUGUACCAUACGAAUAAGGACCGGCUAAUUCCGUGCCAGCAGCCGCGGUAAUACGGAAGGUCCAGGCGUUAUCCGGAUUUAUUGGGUUUAAAGGGAGCGUAGGCUGAUUGUUAAGCGUGUUGUGAAAUGUAGGAGCUCAACUUUUAGAUUGCAGCGCGAACUGGCAGACUUGAGUGCGCACAACGUAGGCGGAAUUCAUGGUGUAGCGGUGAAAUGCUUAGAUAUCAUGACGAACUCCGAUUGCGAAGGCAGCUUACGGGAGCGCAACUGACGCUAAAGCUCGAAGGUGCGGGUAUCGAACAGG